rnacentral:rRNA from 1 species
AUGGCUCAGGAUGAACGCUAGCGACAGGCUAACACAUGCAAGUCGAGGGCAGCAUAAAAGUAGCAAUACGUUGGUGGCGACCGGCGCACGGGUGAGUAACGCGUAUGCAACCUACCUAUCAGAGGGGAAUAACCCGGCGAAAGUCGGACUAAUACCGCAUAAAACAGGGGCACCGCAUGGUGAUAUUUGUUAAAGAAAUUCGCUGAUAGAUGGGCAUGCGUUCCAUUAGGUAGUUGGUGAGGUAACGGCUCACCAAGCCGACGAUGGAUAGGGGAACUGAGAGGUUGGUCCCCCACACUGGUACUGAGACACGGACCAGACUCCUACGGGAGGCAGCAGUGAGGAAUAUUGGUCAAUGGGCGAGAGCCUGAACCAGCCAAGUCGCGUGAAGGAAGAAGGAUCUAUGGUUCGUAAACUUCUUUUGCAGGGGAAUAAAGUGCAGGACGUGUCCUGUUUUGUAUGUACCCUGAGAAUAAGGAUCGGCUAACUCCGUGCCAGCAGCCGC